rnacentral:rRNA from 1 species
UUAUAUUCUGUAGCAAGGUUAACCGUAUAGGGGAGCCGGAGGGAAACCGAGUCUUAAUUGGGCGUUAAGUUGCAGGGUAUAGACCCGAAACCCGGUGAUCUAGCCAUGGGCAGGUUGAAGGUUGGGUAACACUAACUGGAGGACCGAACCGACUAAUGUUGAAAAAUUAGCGGAUGACCUGUGGCUGGGGGUGAAAGGCCAAUCAAACCGGGAGAUAGCUGGUUCUCCCCGAAAGCUAUUUAGGUAGCGCCUCGUGAAUUCAUCUCCGGGGGUAGAGCACUGUUUCGGCUAGGGGGCCAUCCCGGCUUACCAACCCGAUGCAAACUGCGAAUACCGGAGAAUGUUAUCACGGGAGACACACGGCGGGUGCUAACGUCCGUCGUGAAGAGGGAAACAACCCAGACCGCCAGCUAAGGUCCCAAAGUCAUGGUUAAGUGGGAAACGAUGUGGGAAGGCCCAGACAGCCAGGAUGUUGGCUUAGAAGCAGCCAUCAUUUAAAGAAAGCGUAAUAGCUCACUGGUCGAGUCGGCCUGCGCGGAAGAUGUAACGGGGCUAAACCAUGCACCGAAGCUGCGGCAGCGACGCUUAUGCGUUGUUGGGUAGGGGAGCG